rnacentral:rRNA from 1 species
GACGAACGCUGGCGGCGUGCUUAACACAUGCAAGUCGAACGGUGAAGGGACCGGUUUUUGCUGGUUCUGGAUGAGUGGCGAACGGGUGAGUAACACGUGAGGAACCUGCCCCCUUCUUCUGGAUAACCGCAUGAAAGUGUGGCUAAUACGGGAUAUUCUGCGCCUGCUGCAUGGUGGGGGUGGGAAAGAUAUUGUUUCGGGGGGGGAGGGGCUCGCGGCCUAUCAGCUUGUUGGUGGGGUGAUGGCCUACCAAGGCGGUGACGGGUAGCCGGCCUGAGAGGGUGGACGGUCACACUGGGACUGAGACACGGCCCCGACUCCUACGGGAGGCAGCAGUGGGGAAUAUUGCACAAUGGGCGCAAGCCUGAUGCAGCGCCGCCGCGUGAGGGAUGGAGGCCUUCGGGUUGUAAACCUCUUUCGCCAGUGAAGCAGGCCUGUCCCUUGUGUGGGUGGGUUGACGGUAGCUGGAGAAGAAGCGCCGGCUAACUACGUG